AAGGAUCAUUAUUGAAUGAGACUUCUGGCUGGAUGCUGUUGUGCUGGUCCUCUGGGCAAUGUGCACACACCUCUGGUCACUUGUUUCUUCUGUUCCACCUGUGCACUACCUGUAGACAUGCCGAUGGCGUGUCUAUGAUAUUUGUUACACACACGAUGUUAUGCAUGUUGGUUGGCAUAUUACAUGUUAUAAUAAAUAUACAACUUUCAACAACGGAUCUCUUGGCUCUCGCAUCGAUGAAGAACACAGCGAAAUGUGAUAAGUAAUGUGAAUUGCAGAAUCCAGUGAAUCAUCGAAUCUUUGAACGCAUCUUGCGCUCCUUGGCAUUCCGAGGAGCAUGCCUGUUUGAGUGUCAUUAAACUAUCAAAACACCUUUUCUUGAGGUGUUUUGGACUUUGGGAGUACUGUGCUGGUCUCUUUGAGCCAGCUCUCCUCAAAAGCAUUAACUUUGAGACCAUCAGUGUGAUAAUUUGUUUGCACUGGCUUCUCUUUUUUUAACUGCCCCUUUGACCUCAAAUCAGGUAGGACUACCCGCUGAACUUAA
rnacentral:rRNA from 1 species